AAAUGGGCAUGUUACCCUGAAGGCAGAGCUGGAAGAAGAGGCAUGUCUCUUCCAAGAAGAGACAUUUGUGAACCUUGAUACAGAAGAGGCCUGCAUGCAGAUUAGGCAGCAGAUUCAAUUGGGGGCUGUCACCAAUUUGAGCUGCUGCCUCAGACUCAGGCAGAAGACCCUGCUGGCCCAGCAUCCCCUGCCGGAAGCCGCAAGUACCCCCCUCAAGCAAUAAGGACCGUCCCGCGCUAGCAAGAUCCCACCCACGACGAGGACAGCCUGACCUCCCCUGCGCACCUGCACGUGCCCACCCGCCUCGGUCCCACCUUGUCCUUAUAGAAGCCUGGAAGCAUUUUCGGCACCUUGGAGACAGUCUUUGAAACCCCGGUCCGCGUCUUCCUGGCAUCGGCCUCGCUGAAAUAAAUUCCCUUCUUGCUUCUCCUCCACCCGUAUCUCUGCCUUUGGAUGCUGCAGGCUGUCAGUGGCCCAGCCUGGCCUGUGUGGGGCCCCCGGGGCCCUUGGCCGCUGCGCCCCGGCUGCGCUGUGCAGCAGGUGAGCCCCAAACUGAGAAACGUGCCCUGGUGUACGUGUAGGAGCUCUGACUUCUGCCCAGGACAGCUUCACACCCUUCCGCUGCACGCGCUCGGUCGCUGGCCUCCCCACCGCCCUUCCCCAGCCUCCCAGCCCCCACAGCACUCAUCCUAAUAAAGUUCGAGCAGCAACUCUGGCACUUGCA